UUCGACUGUUUACCAAAAACAUAGCUUCCCGAAUUUAUAAGAAGCGAAGUCUGCCCGGUGACUAUAGUUAAACGGCCGCGUAAGUGCUAAGGUAGCAUAAUCAUUUGCCUUUUCAUUGGAGGCUAGUAUGAAUGGAUCAACGAAGCUUUUCUGUCUCUAAUUAUAAAAUUAAAAUUGAUUUAUAGGUGAAAAAUCCUAUAUUAAAAUGAAGGACGAGAAGACCCUAUAGAGUUUAAGUAAAAUUAAUAUAGAAAUACAUUAAUUUACUUUUAUUGGGGCAAUAAUAGAACAACAAAACUCUUUUUUAUAAAGUAUUAUGAAAAUAAUUUUAUUCCUCAAAGAGAAAUUAAAAACUACCUUAGGGAUAACAGCGUAAUCCUACCUGAGAGAACUAAUCGAAGGAAGGGCUUGCGACCUCGAUGUUGGACUAAGGAAACUCCCAGGUGCAGAAGUCUGGAAAGUAAGCCUGUUCGGCUUUUAAAUCCUUACNUGNAUUUGAGNUUCAUUCCGUAU
rnacentral:rRNA from 1 species